AUUGAACGCUGGCGACAGGCCUAACACAUGCAAGUCGAGUGAGCGGCGGACGCGUGAGUAAUGUAUGGGGACUGCCCGAUAGAGGGGGAUAUCUACUGGAAACGGUAGCUAAUACCGCAUACUCUCGGAUAAUCCACAUGGGAUUAGCUAUUAGGUGAGGUAAUGGCUCACCUAGGCGACGAUCCCUAGCUGGUCUGAGAGGAUGAUCAGCCACACUGGGACUGAGACACGGCCCAGACUCCUACGGAGGCAGAAGUGGGGAAUAUUGCGCAAUGGGGGCAAGCCUGAUGCAGCCAUGCCGCGUGAAUGAAGAAGGCCCUAGGGUUGUAAAGUACUUUCGGUCGGGAGGCGUUACCGACAGAGGAAGCACCGGCUAACUCCGUGCCAGCAGCCGCGGUAAUUC
rnacentral:rRNA from 1 species